rnacentral:misc_RNA from 1 species
GAUGAAGAACGUAGUGAAAUGCGAUAAGUAAUGUGAAUUGCAGAAUUCAGUGAAUCAUCGAAUCUUUGAACGCACAUUGCGCCCGCCAGUAUUCUGGCGGGCAUGCCUGUUCGAGCGUCAUUUCAACCAUCAAGCCCCCGGCUUGUGCUGGGGACCUGCGGCUGCCGCAGGCCCUGAAAAGCAGUGGCGGGCUCGCUGUCACACCGAGCGUAGUAGCAUACAUCUCGCUCUGGGCGUGCUGCGGGUUCCGGCCGUUAAACCACCUUCAUAACCCAAGGUUGACCUCGGAUCAGGUAGGAAGACCCGCUGAACUUAAGCAUAUCAAUAAGCGGAGGA